GUCUGGUGACUAGUUUAUUGGUGAGAGAGGAAUAUUGAAAUCACCCACUACUGUGGUGUUAGGUUCAGUAUGUGAUCUAAGACCUGCUGCUUCUUUCAUGAACUCGGUGCCCCUGUGUAGAUGUUUAGAAUUAUAUUCUCUUGGUGGAUUUUUCCUUUAAUGCAGAUGAAGUGUCAUUCCCCGUCUCUUCGGACAAACUUUACUUUGAAGUCAUUUUGCCAGGUAUAAGAAAUAUAAUUCAAGCCAGGCAAUGGUGGCGCACGCCUUUAAUCCCAGCACCCAGGAGGCAGAGGCAGGCGGAUCUCUGUGAGUUCAAGGCCAGUCUGGUCUACAGAGUGAGUUCCAGGAUAGUCAGGACUGUUUCACAGAGAAACCCUGUCUCAAAAAAAAAAAAAAAAAAAAAAAAAAGAUGGGGGGGAUAAAUAUAAUUCAAAUAUAAUUCUCUUCUAGCAUGUUUUAUAGAGCUGGCUUAAUGGAAAUAAAUCUCCCAAUCCCCCAAAUCUGUUGAUUUUUUUUUAAUUUUAUAUGUCUUUUUUCUGAAUGUACGUCUGUGCACCACAUGUGUGACUGCUGCCCUUGGAGGCCAGAAGAGUACAUCAGAUCCCUUGGAACUGGAGUAACAGAUGGCUGUAAACUGCUAUAGACUCAGUUCCCCAAAAUUACAUCUUCAGAGAGCUCUUUUUGAGGAGAAUCCAACAAAGCUGUCAUGCCAUAGCUGAUGAAUACAUCUUCAAAGGUCAGCGAAUCCUAAAAGAGCCAAUAUACAUGUACAAAUGGAAGGGCCACACAGCAAAGGACACUUCUUUGACAUGAUGUUGUGCUCUCCAAAUAUUGAUUUAAUUUUAUGGUCAUCAUUCUCCAUUAAUAAUUAGAUCCUGGCAUAGUCAUAAUGAUGCCAGAAUGGAACUAUUUAGUAAAGCAAUAAGAAGACAUCAGCAUGUGUUGAUGCUGCUCGAUCAUCACUUAACAAAGGUAAAUAUCACUGGUCCAACAACUGCAUAUUCCUAAAAUAUAUCAGAAGAUCAUCUGCUCAGUCAUUGAUAUUGGUCCAAAUGCCACUAGCACAAAUGUGAAGCAGUUUAUCAUUCAAAGUUUAUGACAAUAUGCUACUUGUUUCACUCAUAUUGUCCCUCUGCAUGCUUGAAUAUCUAUGGGAUUUUCCAAGAGGAAGCUUACCUGAUCAGAACCAAAAAUACUCUACAGUAAGAUUUGGUAGUGAGGGGCUGGAGAGAUGGCUCAGAGGUUAAGAGCACUGACUGCUCUUCCAGAAGUCCUGAGUUCAAUUCCCAGCAA